GGGGCCUGUUGCACAAAAGUAGAAUUAAGACAUCCGGGAUAAAUGACUCAGCUGAGCUCAAUGAAGCCAAAACAUGUGCGUCCAGGCUUAAUUGGUUGCACAAAGACCAAGCCAGGAUGAGCAGACACGGAUUCAUUAAGCCAGGUGAAACCAAUCCUGGAUAGGUGCGCGCUCACGGCUCACUCAAAUAGACCCCGCCACAGAUCACAGAUUAACUGAUUUACCAUGGCAACUAAGAGCCGCGUACUUUUCCCCGUCGGAAGCACAAAUCCUCAUGGAGGCAUACGAGGAGGUAAAAUAUAUAAUUAAGAAGAAAGGCAACACCGCCACAGUGAUAAAGCAAAGAGAAAAAGCGUGGCAAAGUAUUGCAGACCGCCUGAAUGCGUAAGUAGUGCACAAUUACACACUCACCGCUCCGCUGAAACAUCACAAUUACAAUUCAAAUAUUUAAUUCACAUCUCCAAAAAUGCAGUUGUACUGUAAUUAUGAAACGGUUAAAUUUUUAAUUGAAAUGCACUGCAGAUAUGAGUGAAAUUGUGUAAAGUAACUCCAUCACACUGUAUAAAGCUAUGAUAAAAUUUUUGAUAUUGUCCAUUGACGAACACUCUGCAUUGCCAGUGAUGUGCAUUGAUUGGUGUAAUAUUCCUCAUCUUAUGAUUUCAGAUGGUCUGCAAUGCUGACUGUGUGAUCAGCAAUGUUGUGGCAAAAUGGCCUGGCUCAGUCCAUGACUCCAGAAUCUUUCGGGCCUCUGAAAUCUAUCAGUGCCUAUCACAAGGUGAAUUCUCUGGUGUGUUGCUGGGAGACAGGGGUAUGGCUGCCAGCCUUUUCUCCUGACACCUUUCACAGACCCCAGGAAGCACAGCAGGCCUACAACCAUGCCCAUGCCAGGACCAGGGCCAGAGUUGAAAUGACCUUUGGCCUCCUGAAGGCACGCUUUCACUGCCUUCACAAAUUAAGGGUCAGCCCUGUUAGGGCAUGUGAUAUUACUGUGGCUUGUGCUGUCCUCCACAAUGUGGCCUGCCUGAGGAAGGAGAGGGCCCCCAGAGUGCCACCAGCCAUGGACUGGGACAAUCCGGCAAUCUUCCCUGAUGACGACAGUGGUCGGCUGCUGAGGGACCAAUAUGUGUUGAAUUAUUUUAGUUAGUAUGUGUGCUUUCAAUUUUGGUUAAAUAUGUCCUGCGGUGGCAGAGGAAUUUGGGUUUUUUUGGGUUCGUUUUUUGACGAAUUUGGCCUCUUAUGAUGUUUGUGCGGUAUACUGUGUGUAAUACAAGGCUGCAGGGAGGCUACUGCAUCCAUUCAUUUGUCUGUUCAGUUGAUGUGUAUGGAUUUGUCCUGCAUUUAUUUUAGUGUGCAGACAUGCAGGGUGUGUUAUAUACAGAGUUUUGUGCAACAGGCCCCUGUUGCACAAAACUAGGAUAAGGGAUUAAGCCAGGAUAUCUUGGUGAUCCUGGCUCAAUUGAUCCGUAAUCCGGUUGCACUAAAGAUGGAUAGGGGGCAGGAGGAUAUGUUAUGGUAUAAAUUACCAUGGAGAUUUAUUCUGUGGAGCUAGCCUGCUCCAGACCAGGCUAAAUUCCAGGAUCUAUUUAAUCUCAUCCCUAAUGUCAGUCAGCAGUCACCACAAAUGGAAACCAAUAGUUAUUUCACUGCUCACUAUACAUUGUUAUCACAUGUAACUAGACCCACUGUUAUUAUUUAAACGUUUGUGAUCAUUAAUUUCAAUGAUUUUGGAUAAAAAAUGAUUUUUAGAUGA